UCCUACGGGAGGCAGCAGUGGGGAAUAUUGCACAAUGGGCGAAAGCCUGAUGCAGCGACGCCGCGUGAGGGAUGACGGCCUUCGGGUUGUAAACCUCUUUCAGCAGGGAAGAAGCGAAAGUGACGGUACCUGCAGAAGAAGCGCCGGCUAACUACGUGCCAGCAGCCGCGGUAAUACGUAGGGCGCAAGCGUUGUCCGGAAUUAUUGGGCGUAAAGCGUGCGCAGGCGGUUGUGCAAGACCGAUGUGAAAUCCCCGAGCUUAACUUGGGAAUUGCAUUGGUGACUGCACGGCUAGAGUGUGUCAGAGGGGGGUAGAAUUCCACGUGUAGCAGUGAAAUGCGUAGAGAUGUGGAGGAAUACCGAUGGCGAAGGCAGCCCCCUGGGAUAACACUGACGCUCAUGCACGAAAGCGUGGGGAGCAAACAGGAUUAGAUACCCUGGUAGUCCACGCCCUAAACGAUGUCAACUAGUUGUUGGGGAUUCAUUUCCUUAGUAACGUAGCUAACGCGUGAAGUUGACCGCCUGGGGAGUACGGUCGCAAGAUUAAAACUCAAAG
rnacentral:rRNA from 1 species